rnacentral:rRNA from 1 species
AUUGAACGCUGGCGGAAUGCUUUACACAUGCAAGUCGAACGGUAGAGGGGGCAACCCCUCGAGAGUGGCGAACGGGUGAGUAAUGUAUCGGAACGUGCCCAGUCGUGGGGGAUAACGUAGCGAAAGUUACGCUAAUAUCGCAUACGAUCUACGGAUGAAAGCGGGGGAUCGCAAGACCUCGCGCGAUUGGAGCGGCCGAUAUCAGAUUAGGUAGUUGGUGGGGUAAAGGCUCACCAAGCCAACGAUCUGUAGCUGGUCUGAGAGGACGACCAGCCACACUGGAACGGAGACACGGUCCAGACUCCUACGGGAGGCAGCAGUGGGGAAUUUUGGACAAUGGACGCAAGUCUGAUCCAGCCAUUCCGCGUGCAGGAUGAAGGCCCUCGGGUUGUAAACUGCUUUUGUACGGAACGAAAAGGUUUCCAUUAAUACUGGGAGCUCAUGACGGUACCGUAAGAAUAAGCACCGGCUAACUCUGUGCCAGCAGCCGCAGUAA